rnacentral:pre_miRNA from 1 species
GGAAACCUAAACUACCGUUGGAUCGAAAAACAAACGUCUGAGAUUCAUCCAUGUUACCGUGAGUAAAAAUUUUACUCUUAAAAUUUUUACUCACGGUAACGUGGAUGAAUCUCGAACGUCCAUUUUUCGAUCUAAAACGGUAGUUUUCAAAUUUCC